CAACAAACCCUCGCAUCCAUCUUCUCCACCGAUGACACCACCAGCGACCGUCGAAACCUUCUUCUUCUCUUAAAGAGCCGAUGAUCUUGGCAAAAUCAUGGCUGGUUCUCCUUAACAUACCCUCUGUUAGCCUUUACUGAUGCCAGAGAGUAGUCCAUUGAUGAUGAUGAGUUCUUCGGGUUUCUUUCUCCGGCGAUUCCGACAUCAGAUCUACUGGGUUCAACUUCUCGAUGGUGUGGUGUCUGAUGUGGUGUCUGAUGCGAGCAAAAAGAAGAAGGCAGUUGCCUCAGCCAAGAGAGGAGUACAAGCUUUGAUGAACAUAAAGAAUGGUCUAGAUGAUCCACAUAGUGUCUUGAAUUGGGAUGCAGAUGCUGUUGAUCCAUGUAGUUGGACUAUGAUCACUUUUUCUCUAGAUAAAUUUGUCAUUGGCUUGUAAGAACAAACAAAAAAAAUAUAUAUAUUUUUAAUUUUUUUAAAAGUUCAUAUUUUUAUUUUUAUCUUGAUUUGUUUUUAAUUGUAUCGUAACUUGACGAAUCUGCAGAUAGUGCAAGUGUUAGCCGAGUUUAUUAUCUAUUAUAGUUAUAGCUAUUUGAUUUUUAUUUAUUUAAAUUUUGUCUAUUAGUCGUUUCGCGUUGGUCCAGAGCAAGAACAAGGGCUGCCAAGGUAAACAUACAAACUUUAUAUCAAAAAGAGUAAAAUGUCAUUUUCGUCCCUGGGGUUUGACCACUUUUGCGACUUUCGUCCCUGAGGUGGCAUUUUCACCCCUGAGGGCCAAAUUUCGAGGGUUGACAGUCGCAAUAAAUUGCUAAACUCAAGGAAGAAAACGGCAAUAAAACGCAAACCCGAGGUCAGAUUUUGCUAUCAAAUUUCGAGCGGCGAUUCAGAAACACGAAGCGUUUGAUGAAGAUAUCACCAGAUUGGUUCAGAUUUUGCUAUCUUCGGCUGCUAUUGAUGGUGGUUGUCUGGUUAAGUUGGCCAUUCCGACCACUCGACAACCCUAAGGGUUUUCUUUCACUAGACGGCGAUGUAUUUUCCGGCAUAGUGACACAAGAUCGAUUCGACUUCUCGAUCUUUGAAAUUUUAGGGUUUCUUUCUCCAGCGAUUCCGACAUCAGAUCUACUGGGUUCAACUUCUCGGUUGUAUUGUUUCUAGGCUCAAAAUGGUGAAUUUGCUGCCACCUUUAACGUUGAGGAUUACAGAGCGGCUUGUGAAAAGUGUUAUAAGCAGAUAGAAGUUGCCAUAGCCAGGUACCGAGAAAUCAAAGAUAAGAUCAAUGAAGGACUCAAGUUUUAUGUUACUCUUCA